UUACAUUUUAGGGAGAGUCUCAAUUGGGGCUCUCAGCAACAUAAAGCAUCGAGUUUUGUCUUCAGAAAUUCAAGACUCUUUUGUAUAUAUUGGUGGAAAUGCAAAGAUGGGUGCUCUUUGUUGCUGCCCUUGCGUUGAGGAAUUCCAAGAAUAUGCGCUUUCGAGCAAUUCAUAGGCAUUGCUUAUGUCUGAGAUACUUCUUCCACCAGCUAAGUAGAACCAGCAAUGCAAGAGCAGGAUCUGAUCAGUCACGCCCGAAAAGAGGAUGUGCCUGCUUGCUGCUGCUGGGUAUGCUUGCUGUUGUUUCUCGCGCUAUUAAUUUUUUUUGUGUGUGUUGAUUUGAUUAACAAUUCAAGCGUAUCUUUAGUUUGUUGGUGUGUGUUGGUUCGCAGCCAGUUUUAUAUAUUGGUUUUUUUAUUUGGAUUUAUAGCACUGAGGGUAUAGGUGAACAGUGAAGCGGUUUGUAUGGGCUCAUGUAUCUUAAACAUGUAGUCAGAAGAGAGGAUUUUGUUUUAGUGUUUUAGACAAUCUGAAGGAAUAUGUAGAUACUAUGAUUUGGGGUUGCUUUCUUAAACCAUGAUAAAGCAGUCCAAGUAAUUUUAACAUAGAUAUCAUUUUUUAUGUAA